AGCGGAGACCACAAUUCCCGGCAUUCGUGGGGCGAGGAGGAGUCGGCCUCCCGGAAUCCUGGUCCCGGCGUGCACUUCUGGAGGACUUCAGGCACCCUUUCUUGGGCCGCGAAGUCCCUAUCUCGAACGGCUCAGGAUUCGUGGUGGCUGCCGAUGGGCUCAUUGUCACCAACGCCCAUGUGGUGGCUGAUCGGCGCAGAGUCCGUGUGAGACUGCUUAGCGGCGACACGUAUGAGGCCGUGGUCACAGCUGUGGAUCCCGUGGCAGACAUCGCAACGCUGAGGAUUCAGACUAAGGAGCCUCUCCCCACGCUGCCUCUGGGACGCUCAGCGGAUGUCCGGCAAGGGGAGUUUGUUGUUGCCAUGGGAAGUCCCUUUGCACUGCAGAACACGAUCACAUCCGGCAUUGUUAGCUCUGCUCAGCGUCCAGCCAGAGACCUGGGACUCCCCCAAACCAAUGUGGAAUACAUUCAGACUGAUGCAGCUAUUGAUUUUGGAAACUCUGGAGGUCCCCUGGUUAACCUGGUGAGUGAGACAUCCUUCCUUCCAAGAAUCCCUGCCCCAGGAUGGGGAGGUGAUUGGAGUGAACACCAUGAAGGUCACAGCUGGAAUCUCCUUUGCCAUCCCUUCUGAUCGUCUUCGAGAGUUUCUGCAUCGUGGGGAAAAGAAGAAUUCCUCCUCUGGAAUCAGUGGGUCCCAGCGGCGCUACAUUGGGGUGAUGAUGCUGACCCUGAGUCCCAG
rnacentral:sRNA from 1 species